CUCAUGCCUCCAUAAAUAGAGCAAAAUCUUACUGUAUUCAAGCCUGAAGCUGUAACUCUGCAUGCUGUUUGCCUCAGAAAAACAAGCAGUCUGCUGACAUCAGCAGAAGUGGUGGCCUGAUCCAAUCACAAUGCUUCUCCAUAGGUUUGGCUGAGACUGACAAGGAGGCAGAUCAGGGGUAGAGCCAGCAUGGUUCAAACACAGCCCUGGCCAAUCAGCAUCUUCUCAUAGAGAUGAAUUGAAUCAAUGAAUCUCUAUGAGGAAAGUUCAGUGUCUGCAUGCACAGGGAGGAGAUACUGAAUGUUUGGAUGCAUUUUAGGCAGCCAUGAUCCAGGAAGAAUCUCUAACAGCCAUCUAAGGAGUGGCCAGUGAAAUUAUCACUAGGCUGUAAUGUUAACACUGCAUUUUCUCUGAAAAGACAGUAUUUACAGCAAAAAGCCUGACGGUAAUGACUCUACUCACCAGAACAAAUUCAAUAAGCUUUAGUUGUUCUGGUGACUAUAGUGUCCCUUUAAAUAGGAAGUGGUUCCCUUCUUUAAAUUGUUCAUUUAAU